rnacentral:rRNA from 1 species
GAGUCGGACCUGCCCGGUGAAUAUAUUUAACGGCCGCGGUACUUUGACCGUGCAAAGGUAGCAUAAUCAUUUGCCCUAUAAUUGAGGGCUAGUAUGAAUGGUUUGACGUGAACAAAGCUGUCUCUAUGCAGUUUUUUAAAAUUUGAUUUCUAGGUGAGGAAACCUAGAUAUUAUUGAAAGACAAGAAGACCCUAUUGAGCUUUAAAAGAAUAAAUUGAGAAUAAUAUAUAAUUUUAGAUGUUAAUCUAUUUUAGGAUUUUGGUUGGGGCGACUAUGGAACAAAUAAAGCUUCUUUACAACUAAUAAAACUGACAAGUAUUGAUCCAGAGAUUCUGAUUAAUGGAAUUAGUUACCAUAGGGAUAACAGCAUAAUUCUCUUUGAGAGCUCUCAUCGAAAAGAGAGUUUGUGACCUCGAUGUUGGACUAGAAUAUCCUAAAGAUGCAGCAGUCUUUAAAGGUUGGUC